rnacentral:rRNA from 1 species
UAAGGAAUAUUGGUCAAUGGACGCAAGUCUGAACCAGCCAUGCCGCGUGAAGGAUGAAGGUCCUCUGGAUUGUAAACUUUUUUUAAGGUAGUUGACGGUACCCUAUGAAUAAGCACCGGCUAACUCCGUGCCAGCAGCCGCGGUAAUACGGAGGGUGCAAGCGUUAUCCGGAUUUACUGGGUUUAAAGGGUGCGUAGGCGGGCAUGUAAGUCAGUGGUGAAAUACCGGAGCUUAACUUCGGAACUGCCAUUGAUACUAUAUGUCUUUAAUAUUGUGGAGGUAAGCGGAAUAUGUCAUGUAGCGGUGAAAUGCAUAGAUAUUACAUAGAACACCGAUUGCGGAGGCAGCUUGCUACGCAAAUAUUGACGCUGAGGCACGAAAGCGUGGGGAUCAAACA